rnacentral:rRNA from 1 species
AUGCAUAAUUGUAAAGAAGGAAGAAUGUGGAACAAGUUUGUUGUUAACGAUGGAUUUGUGUUUCGUGCUAACAAGCUAUGCAUUCCAGCUAGCUCCGUUCGUCUUUUGUUGUUGCAGGAGGCGCAUGGAGGAGGACUAAUGGGACACUUUGGCGUGAAGAAGAUGGAGGACGUACUUGCUACACAUUUCUUUUGGCCAAAGAUGAGACGGGAUGUUGAGCGUUUUAUUGCUCGCUGCACUACAUGUCAAAAAGCUAAGUCACGACUCAAUCCUCAUGGUUCAUAUAUGCCUUUGCCUGUACCUAGUGUUCCUUGGGAGGAUAUAUCUAUGGACUUUGUUUUAGGUUUACCUCGAACAAAGAAGGGGAGGGAUAGCAUAUUUGUUGUCGUGGAUAGAUUCUCGAAAAUGGCACACUUUAUACCAUGUCAUAAAAGCGAUGAUGAUGUUAAUGUUGCUGAUUUGUUCUUUCGUGAAAUUAUUCGCUUGCAUGGUGUGCCAAAUACUAUUGUUUCAGAUCGUGAUACUAAAUUUCUUAGCCACUUUUGGAGAUGUUUAUGGGCUAAGUUGGGGACUAAACUGCUUUUUAGUACUACUUGUCACCCCCAAACUGAUGGACAAACUGAAGUAGUCAAUAGAACGUUGUCUACUAUGCUUAGGGCUGUUUUGAAGAAUAAUAAGAAAAUGUGGGAGGAAUGCUUGCCUCAUAUUGAAUUUGCUUAUAAUCGUUCAUUGCAUUCUACUACUAAGAUGUGCCCUUUUGAAGUUGUGUAUGGUUUCCUACCUCAUGCACCUAUUGAUUUGUUGCCUCUUCCAUCUUCGGAGAAGGUUAAUUUUGAUGCUAAACAACAUGCUGAAUUGAUUUUAAAAAUGCAUGAGUUAACUAAGGAAAACAUUGAGCGCAUGAAUGCUAAAUAUGAACUUGCUGGAGAUAAGGGUAGAAAACAUGUUGUGUUUGCACCUGGAGAUCUUGUUUGGUUACAUUUGCGUAAGGAUAGAUUUCCUGAUUUGCGCAAAUCAAAGUUAAUGCCACGUGCUGAUGGUCCCUUUAAGGUGUUAGAGAAAAUAAAUGAUAAUGCAUAUAAACUUGAGCUGCCUGCAGAUUUUGGGGUUAGUCCCACUUUUAACAUUGCAGAUUUGAAGCCUUAUUUGGGUGAGGAAGAUGAACUUCCGUCGAGGACGACUUCAUUUCAAGAAGGGGAGGAUGAUGAGGACAUCAAUACAAUUGUUACACCCACAGCCCCUGCUGCUAUACAUACUGGACCAAUUACUAGAGCUCGUGCACGCCAACUAAAUUACCAGGUACUUUCGUUUCUUGGUAAUGAUUCUAAUGUUCAUGAGAAUAUGAUGCUGCCUAAAUUGGAUACAUUUGUUUUGCUUACAAAUGAAGGGCCUAGCUUGGAGAAGGAUGAACAUUGGAGCAAGAACAAGCAUGGAGAUGAUGGCAUGCGCAAGGGGAACAAGAACGGAGUUACAAGUGAUGAUUUCAGGACUUUGAAGCCACCAUAA